rnacentral:lncRNA from 1 species
GUUUUAACUGCCUUUGAAGUUCUGUUUAAAAGUCUCUUCUUUUGAGCAAAAAGCAUUAUUUGCUAAUAAUUCUGUAGGUUAGUGUCAUUCCGUAAUUUCCAUUCCCUUCGGAAGGGAAACCUCUGUGUUCUGCUUCAAGGUAGCAGUCAUCCAUAAAACUGUUUGGCUUUCUUAGCGUAAGAUAUACUCUUUCACCCAUGGUAACAUUGAGAUGCAUUCUGUCAUUUCAUUCUUGAGGACCUUUCCCUCAUCUCUGUUGACAAACUUUUCCAGAAGGCAACAUUAAAAAAAAGAAAGGGACAAAAGAAUAAAAAGAACAAAACCCCCUUACACAUUUCUUGCGUUCAUUUACCCCCACUUAUGUCUCCCCCUACUCCUGUAGAUGAAGCAGGAUUAUAGAAGAUCAUUUGUGUAGCUCCUUCUCUGUCCCUAAAAUGUUAUUGUUCUUUAAAUUCAGGGAUUUCUUAAGUUUGUGCCAAGGAUCUCCACACAACAGCUUUGCAGUCCUGCAGUCCCAAGGGACAGAGAGGAAGUACAGCAUCAGAAGUCAGCUGGAGCACCAGCACAGGAACCUCAUGUAUCUGGAGCUCUUUCAGAAUCCGAUGAUUUUUGUCUUCAAAUCACUGGAUCUUCAGGAGCUCUCCUGAAACGAUUCUUGAAAUAUCAUUCUUUGUAAAUAUUGCAUUUGGGAUCACAAGCCCCUGUUUCUGAGGAGGAUCAUGCAGAGACUCAUUGAAAUCCGAAGAGGGAAGAAUUCAAAAAGAGUUGGUUACAAUCACUCUCUCCAUUGUGUAAUCAAUGCUGAUGUGAAUUCAAGAUAAAAUUCAAAUGAACAUUUGCAGAAAUGUUCCCCUAUCUCACACAUCUUAUAUAAAUAUGAGAUACAUGUUAUUUAUAUACAUGAUGUAAAUAGCAUCAGUUUCUUGGCUCUUUUAAAAUGGCUUGAAGAAAUGGAGUAAUAGCUUCAGCUGAUGAGGCUUUGCAACAUGUAAUUUGCUAUGAUCCCCAUCGCUUUUGAAUGUGUUAGAUUAUGUUUGUAUUAUUGAAAAUGUAACUCCUUCAUUUGAAAUUCUUCUCAACUCAAACAAUGAGAACAGUCACAAUAAAAAAAGAGUGGGGAAAAGAGGUGGAAUGAAU